GAUGACUCCUCCCACCAUAUUAUGAUGUUCCCCAAGUUUUGGAAUCAAUCCAAUACCGAUUGGUCCAUCAAAUUGGACAAUUCAGGUUCGUAGAAAGUUCGUUCUGAAAUGGGGUGGUUGGUUUAUUGCAUAGUUGUAGAGAUUGGAUUUCAUUCAAAACCCACCAGAUGGCUCCUCCCACCAUAUUAUGACGUUCCCCAGGUUUUGGACUCAAUCCGACAUCGAUUGGCACAUGCAAUCAAACAAUUCAGAGUCGUACGAAGUUCGCUCAGAAACGGAGUGGUUGGUGUAUUGCAUAGUUUUAGCCAUUUGAUUUCACUCAAAACCCACCAAAUGACUCCUCCCACCAUUAUGUUCAACAACUUUGACUCAAAUCCGAUAUCGAUUGGACCAUGAAAUCGGACAAUUCAGGUUCGUUCGAAGUUCGUUCUGAAAUGGAGUGGUUGGUGUAUUGCAUACUUCUAGAGAUUGGAUUUCACUCAAAACCAACCAGAUGCCUCCUCCCACAACAUUAUGAUGUUCCCCAAGUUUUGAACUCAAUCCGAUAUCGAUUGGUCCGUGAAAUUGGACAAUUCAGCUUCGUACGAAGUUCGUUUUGAAAUGGAGUGGCUAGUGUAUUUUAUAGUUCUAGAGAUUGAAUUUCACCCAAAACUUACCAA
rnacentral:lncRNA from 1 species